UACAGAGGUCCCAAGCGUUGUUCGGAUUUAUUGGGUUUAAAGGGUGCGUAGGCGGCCUUGUAAGUCAGUGCUGAAAUAUCCCGGCUUAACCGGGAGGGUGGCAUUGAUACUGCAGGGCUUGAGUUAAGUUGAAGUUGGCGGAAUUGACGGUGUAGCGGUGAAAUGCUUAGAUAUCGUCAAGAACACCGAUAGUGAAGACAGCUAACUAAACUUUUACUGACGCUGAGUCACGAAAGUGUGGGGAUCAAACGGG
rnacentral:rRNA from 1 species